rnacentral:rRNA from 1 species
GAUGAAGAACGCAGCGAAAUGCGAUACGUAGUGUGAAUUGCAGAAUUCCGCGAAUCAUCGAGUCUUUGAACGCAAGUUGCGCCCGAGGCUUGUCCGAGGGCAUUUCCGCUAGAGCGUCACCGCGCCCCCCACCGAUCCACACUCCCGUCGCGAGGCGAGAGCGUCACAGGGUCGAGUGAAAGUGGCCGUCCCUCGGUGAAGUGGCCUUCUCGCGAAGGCCAAGUUCUUGAGGGUCGGCUGAAAUGGAUGGAAUUGGGCCGCCGUGGUGACACAGUCCGCGAUCGGGUGAUUUCGUGGCGAGCCUCCUCCGGGAGGGUCGCCGUGGAUUUUUCUAAGUGCGUGUCUGCGUCCCCCAGUUGGCUUCGGUUACCUCAUGCAGGUCGAGCGCGCCCCCCGCGGCGCGCGUCACGCAUCAGACCUCUAAUCGGAAAAGACUACCCGCUGAGUUUAAGCAUAUCAAUAAGCGGA